rnacentral:rRNA from 1 species
CGGCAGGCUUAACACAUGCAAGUCGAGCGCCCAGCAAUGGGAGCGGCGACGGUGAGUAACACGUGGGAACAUGCCCUUCGGUACGGAAUAACUCAGGGAAACUUGUGCUAAUACCGUAUACGCCCUUACGGGGAAAGAUUUAUCGCCGAAGGAUUGGCCCGCGUCUGAUUAGCUUGUUGGUGAGGUAAUGGCUCACCAAGGCUUCGAUCAGUAGCUGGUUUGAGAGAGCGACCAGCCACACUGGGACUGAGACACGGCCCAGACUCCUACGGGAGGCAGCAGUGGGGAAUCUUGGACAAUGGGGGAAACCCUGAUCCAGCCAUGCCGCGUGAGUGAUGAAGGCCCUAGGGUUGUAAAACUCUUUCGGCGGGGACGAUAAUGACGGUACCCGCAGAAGAAGCUCCGGCUAACUUCGUG